rfam:Brassica napus, WGS project CCCW01000000 data, contig: 41127
GUAAUAUAAGAAACCGUCUCUUAAUUUUUAACUAAAAAAGCUAAGAACCGGCUCUUAAAUAAGAUAUGUAAGAUCCGGUUCUUAACUUUUUUAGUUAAAAGUUAAGAGACGGUUUUUUAUAUUCC